AAACCAUGUUGUGGGCAUGAAUUGACAAGAUCCUUGAAUCACUCCCAACACUAGAAGAAUGUUUCAUCUUCCUUUUGGGGGAAGUUCAUAAUUAAUUUUCUGAGGGC